AUGGGGUGACUGCGUACCUUUUGUAUAAUGGGUCAGCGACUUAUAUUCUGUAGCAAGGUUAACCGAAUAGGGGAGCCGAAGGGAAACCGAGUCUUAACUGGGCGUUAAGUUGCAGGGUAUAGACCCGAAACCCGGUGAUCUAGCCAUGGGCAGGUUGAAGGUUGGGUAACACUAACUGGAGGACCGAACCGACUAAUGUUGAAAAAUUAGCGGAUGACUUGUGGCUGGGGGUGAAAGGCCAAUCAAACCGGGAGAUAGCUGGUUCUCCCCGAAAGCUAUUUAGGUAGCGCCUCGUGAACUCAUCUCCGGGGGUAGAGCACUGUUUCGGCAAGGGGGUCAUCCCGACUUACCAACCCGAUGCAAACUGCGAAUACCGGAGAAUGUUAUCACGGGAGACACACGGCGGGUGCUAACGUCCGUCGUGAAGAGGGAAACAACCCAGACCGCCAGCUAAGGUCCCAAAGUCAUGGUUAAGUGGGAAACGAUGUGGGAAGGCCCAGACAGCCAGGAUGUUGGCUUAGAAGCAGCCAUCAUUUAAAGAAAGCGUAAUAGCUCACUGGUCGAGUCGGCCUGCGCGGAAGAUGUAACGGGGCUAAACCAUGCACCGAAGCUGCGGCAGCGACGCUUAUGCGUUGUUGGGUAGGGGAGCGUUCUGUAAGCCUGCGAAGGUGUACUGUGAGGUAUGCUGGAGGUAUCAGAAGUGCGAAUGCUGACAUAAGUAACGAUAAAGCGGGUGAAAAGCCCGCUCGCCGGAAGACCAAGGGUUCCUGUCCAACGUUAAUCGGGGCAGGGUGAGUCGACCCCUAAGGCGAGGCCGAAAGGCGUAGUCGAUGGGAAACAGGUUAAUAUUCCUGUACUUGGUGUUACUGCGAAGGGGGGACGGAGAAGGCUAUGUUGGCCGGGCGACGGUUGUCCCGGUUUAAGCGUGUAGGCUGGUUUUCCAGGCAAAUCCGGAAAAUCAAGGCUGAGGCGUGAUGACGAGGCACUACGGUGCUGAAGCAACA
rnacentral:rRNA from 1 species